rnacentral:rRNA from 1 species
GAACGAACGCUGGCGGCGCGCCUAAUACAUGCAAGUCGAGCGAGAAGACGUAGCAAUACGUUUGUAAAGCGGCGAACGGGUGAGGAAUACAUGGGUAACCUACCCUCGAGUGGGGAAUAACUAGCCGAAAGGUUAGCUAAUACCGCGUACGCUCCUUGGACUUCGGUUCAGGGAGGAAAGCGAUACCGUGGGUAUCGCGCUCUUGGAUGGGCUCAUGUCCUAUCAGCUUGUUGGUGAGGUAACGGCUCACCAAGGCUUCGACGGGUAGCUGGUCUGAGAGGACGAUCAGCCACACUGGCACUGCGACACGGGCCAGACUCCUACGGGAGGCAGCAGUAAGGAAUAUUGCGCAAUGGGCGAAAGCCUGACGCAGCGACGCCGCGUGGGGGAUGAAGGUCUUCGGAUUGUAAACCCCUUUCGGGAGGGAAGAUGGAAUGGGGUAACCCAUUCGGACGGUACCUCCAGGAGCAGCCACGGCUAACUUCGUGCCAGCAGCCGCGGUAAUACGAAGGUGGCAAGCGUUGUUCGGAUUUACUGGGCGUACAGGGAGCGUAGGCGGUUCGGUAAGCCCUCUGUGAAAUCUCCAGGCUUAACCUGGAACAGUCGGAGGGGACUGCUGGGCUAGAGGACGGGAGAGGAGCGCGGAAUUCCCGGUGUAGCGGUGAAAUGCGUAGAGAUCGGGAGGAAGGCCGGUGGCGAAGGCGGCGCUCUGGAACGUUUCUGACGCUGAGGCUCGAAAGCGUGGGGAGCAAACAGGAUUAGAUACCCUGGUAGUCCACGCCUUAAACUAUGAAUACUAAGUGUCGGCGGGUUACCGCCGGUGCCGCAGCUAACGCAUUAAGUA